AGGCCCAGAGAGAGAGGCAGGGUCUGAUCCACAGCCUCCGUGAUAGCUGGUGAUCAGCUGUUGCCUCUCUCUCUCUCUGCA
rfam:Myotis davidii contig92100, whole genome shotgun sequence.